UCGGAAAUUGUCAAAGUUGUCGACGGGGGGGGGGGUGAAGAUUUAAAAUAUUGUCGUCCGGAAAACUUUUUGGUUUGUCGGAAAAAUUUUUCGGUUUGUCGAAAAGUACUGCCCUUGCCCCCCCCCCAAAAAAAAAACAUGGGUCCCACGGCGCCACUGAUUGUCAUUCUAUUUCCUGUUAAAUAUUUGUUAAAACUCAGUGGUCCCGUAAUUUUUACCGAUUACGUAUGACGUCAUUGACAUCAAUGAAUGUUUUCACGAUUUCAUGUUUGUCAAUAGAGCCCCCCCCC